rnacentral:rRNA from 1 species
UACGUAGGGUGCGAGCGUUAAUCGGAAUUACUGGGCGUAAAGCGUGCGCAGGCGGUUCGCCAAGUCAGGUGUGAAAUCCCCGGGCUUAACCUGGGAAUUGCGCUUGAAACUAGCGGGCUUGAGUGUGGCAGAGGGGGGUGGAAUUCCACGUGUAGCAGUGAAAUGCGUAGAGAUGUGGAGGAACACCGGUGGCGAAGGCGGGUCUCUGGGCAACUACUGACGCUGAGGAGCGAAAGCGUGGGGAGCGAACAGG